rnacentral:rRNA from 1 species
AACGAACGCUGGCGGCAUGCCUAACACAUGCAAGUCGAACGAGACCUUCGGGUCUAGUGGCGCACAGGUGCGUAACGCGUGGGAACCUGCCUUUAGGUUCGGAAUAACUCAGAGAAAUUUGAGCUAAUACCGGAUGAUGUCUUCGGACCAAAGAUUUAUCGCCUUUAGAUGGGCCCGCGUUGGAUUAGCUAGUUGGUGGGGUAAAGGCCUACCAAGGCGACGAUCCAUAGCUGGUCUGAGAGGAUGAUCAGCCACACUGGGACUGAGACACGGCCCAGACUCCUACGGGAAGCAGCAGUGGGGAAUAUUGGACAAUGGGCGAAAGCCUGAUCCAGCAAUGCCGCGUGAGUGAUGAAGGCCUUAGGGUUGUAAAGCUCUUUUACCCGAGAUGAUAAUGACAGUAUCGGGAGAAUAAGCUCCGGCUAACUCCGUG